rnacentral:rRNA from 1 species
CUGUCGUCAGCUCGUGUUGUGAAAUGUUGGGUUAAGUCCCGUAACGAGCGCAACCCUUGUCCUUAGUUGCCAUCAUUUAGUUGGGGACUCUAAGGAGACUGCCGGUGACAAACCGGAGGAAGGCGGGGACGACGUCAAGUCAUCAUGGCCCUUACGAGUAGGGCUACACACGUGCUACAAUGGCAAGUACAGAGGGCCGCAAAGCCGCGAGGUGGAGCUAAUCUCACAAAGCUUGUCGUAGUCCGGAUUGGAGUCUGCAACUCGACUCCAUGAAGUCGGAAUCGCUAGUAAUCGUGAAUCAGAAUGUCGCGGUGAAUACGUUCCCGGGCCUUGUACACACCNCCCGUC